AUCCAUACAAGAAUGUGAGGACGGGGAGGACAGAAGGGCUGAGGUUGAGAGCGGGAGAGUAGGAGGGUGGGAAGGGGAGGACGGAGGACGUGCAGUUGGCAGGCAGAGGCAGGUCCUGAGUUCCUCAGCACCUGAGGAAUUAGCAAGAUCAUCAGUGUCCAGUGUCAUCCUCAGAGAAGGGGAGGUUGUUAUGGUCUGGACCGAACAGUGCAAGAAGGAGGGCUCCUUACUCUGCAGACAAAGAAACCCUGAGAGGCAAAGAUGCCACCGAGGAGCCACUGCGCACUGCUCAGUUGAUGAAUCGGGUGACUGUACGCCUCAGACUUCCCAGUCUCCCAAUAAAGAAAAGAAAAAAUUGGAACCAUCACUCCAUCGAAACAGCAUUCUUCAGUCCACUUCUUCCCAAAGAUAAUGGAUUCAGACUCCACCACGCUCAUCCCGUUGUCCCGCUCAUUUUCCCAAGAAAUGCCAAUUGGCUUCUACCAGAUCACCAGCACCCAGAACAGCUCCACCUUAUCGUCCAGAGGACAGCUGGCUUCUAAAUCCACCAUCCUGAGCUGCUCCCACAAAGACAGCAGCCUGGGAAAGCAGAGCACCAGCUCCAUGGUUCCACGGAGGCAGCCCCAGUCGAGCUCUGACGUGGAUACGUAUACUUUUGGGAAUGGUGAGGAUUAUUUCCUUUCUUUGUUUGGAGAAUCGAAGAAGCUCACCGCCCACACACCCCAAGCCGAGAACGUGAGCGAACACCUUUCUGUGAUCCUUGAGGAAGUCGGCCAAUUUACAUCCAGUUCUCUCGGAGAAAUUAAAAUAGCUGAGGUAAAUAUCAAGGGCCUCUUUGUGAGGCUUGUCAACUCCUCCAAUGAAAAGGAAGUAGAGAUUGGAAACCACAUUCUUCAGCAAAACGUGAAUGGACACGCAGUCUCCUUGUACCAGUUCCCCGACAACAUCACACUGCAGGCCAACUCCACGGUGACAGUGUGGGCAGCAGCUUCGGAAGCAAAGCCACAGCCACCAACGGACUUUGUUUGGGAGGAACAGAGCAAGUUCCGAUCCAGUCCGGACUGCACGACCAUCUUGUGCAAGCCCAAUGGUGAGGCCAUUGCCUGGUACACUCCUAUCCACUGGAAGCAAGCCUGGGAGAAGUUAGAGACUGACAUUGAAUUCGAAAGAUGCUCAGUGGUGGUCCCAUCAAUGAGAAACCACAUGUUUGGAUGGAUAACAGCAUCUGUCUCUUCCACAAACGAGGAGAAAGAAGAACCAAUACAGAAAACGCCCUCCCAAGUCUACCCUGUCCUCUACAGAGAAAAGGAAAUCCCGCCAACUGUCUUACCCAAUAAGAGCCCCUGGUGCCGCAAUCCCAACACUUCUCCACAUCCGUACAGCUCUCUGAUUGACUCACAUGACUCGGACAUUUCCGAAAGCAGUUUAGAUACACAGCUCAAGCCUCAGCCAACCAAGCCCAAACCAGACCCAGGGACCAAGAAAAAGAAAGCAAAGUCAUAAGAAAAUGGAAAGCCAUGAAAUCUGUGAACUAGAGCAGUGGCUGCCUGGAAAAGAAAGCAUUUCUAAAGAGGGCGGAGCUGCCAGUCCUGCUGCCCCAGCCCCCGGGUCCUCAGCAUUCCACGCACAAGCUGAAGAACCACACAGGCAUUCCUGAAGAGCAUUUUCCAUGUGUGCCUCAGAGAGAGUGAAGGCAGUACCCCCAACCCUGAUAUGCACGAGUUUUAUUGCUGGUAUACCUGUUUCGACUGGGCUCCACAAGAUCUCUUGUUUCCUGUAUUUGAUAAGUGUGGUUUUCUGCAAAGGUCUCCAUCGGUUGCAAAGAGACGUCUCCUUGAUGAAGGAUGAAAAAGUUGAGCCAAGAGUAUCCAGUAGCUACCACAGGAGAACCGCUUGUUAGCCAGAAGCAAGAUGCAGUGGGCUGCCCACCUGGUCUCCAGAGUGUGUCUCCUCUGCUGACAUCAGACCCAUUUCUUCAGCAUUUCAACACAAGUCAAAGACAAGCAGCUUCCAGGAAACUUCUAGUCCCUCCACAGCAGCACCUGGAAAUAGUGAUGAACCUGAUGAUGCUUCUCUUGACCUAACGGCGCGGGAAGGAGUGGAGAGCCCGAGAGAAGCCAUGUUGAAAUGCUCUCUUUCACUUGGUCGUCUGCACUCAGGCUUCCUGUGUCUGUGAAUGCCGCGGAGUGUAACAGACCCUGUUCUUCUCCAGCCCCGCCGGUUGUUUUAGAUCUGUAAUGACUAAGCUUGCCAUGGGAGAUUGUUCUGAAGGAAGCAGAUCUCAUAGUAGCCAAUGAGCAGGAGUCAUGUGUCGCAAUCCAGAGGCUCUGCCAAGAACACAACCUUCUAUCCAGAAGACUUCCGUUACGUCCUGAGCAGUGGGCGCAGCUGGGACCGGAGGUUGGACAAAAGAGCAAAGAGUGUGACAGUCCUGAAGUGCUUAGAUCGCAAAGAUGGAUGGAGGGAGCAUGGCGCUCUCAACAAACCUGAAGCCAGAAGGGAACAGAAACAACCUACAACUGCCUUCUGCUAAUGCAAUUCCCGAAGGGGAAAGCCCUCCAUCAUCUUCCCGGAAUAGGGAAAGUGCCCUUUAUGAAGAGAAAUCUAUUUCUACUACUUAAGUAGCUUUACGCCAUAUCCAGCAUGCAUUAGAAAACAAGCCAUAAGACACGGGAGUAGAAGGGACAAUUUGCAGAGGAAGGAAGGCGGUGAAGGGGGCGUGGAUACGAGGGGAGCAUGCGUGCUGCAUGUGUGAUGACGUCAGACUGAAACCUAGGAUUAUCCUGCGACUGUCUUAACUCAGAAACACCGGUCACAGUGAUCAUAGAUGACUGAAGAAGUGGGCCGGGGGCUCAAGGCAGGAACGAAUCAGGGGCCACAGAGGGAUGCUGCUUGUUAGCUUGCUCAGCCUGCUUUCUGCUACCACCCAGGGCAACCUCCCAGGGAUUGCUGGACCCACAGUGGGCUGAACCCUCUCACAUAAAUCAUUAAUCAAGAGAAUGAAGCACAAGCUUGCCCAAAGGCCAACCUGGUGAGGACAUAUCUUUGCUGAGAUUUCCUUUUCUCAAAUGACUAUAGCUCGACUCCACAUCAGGUUGAAAAAAA